rnacentral:rRNA from 1 species
GAGUUUGAUCCUGGCUCAGGACGAACGCUGGCGGCGUGCCUAAUACAUGCAAGUCGAGCGAGCUUGCCUAGAUGAUUUUGGUGCUUGCACUAAAUGAAACUAGAUACAAGCGAGCGGCGGACGGGUGAGUAACACGUGGGUAACCUGCCCAAGAGACUGGGAUAACACCUGGAAACAGAUGCUAAUACCGGAUAACAACACUAGACGCAUGUCUAGAGUUUGAAAGAUGGUUCUGCUAUCACUCUUGGAUGGACCUGCGGUGCAUUAGCUAGUUGGUAAGGUAACGGCUUACCAAGGCAAUGAUGCAUAGCCGAGUUGAGAGACUGAUCGGCCACAUUGGGACUGAGACACGGCCCAAACUCCUACGGGAGGCAGCAGUAGGGAAUCUUCCACAAUGGACGAAAGUCUGAUGGAGCAACGCCGCGUGAGCGAAGAAGGGUUUCGGCUCGUAAAGCUCUGUUGGUAGUGAAGAAAGAUAGAGGUAGUAACUGGCCUUUAUUUGACGGUAAUUACUUAGAAAGUCACGGCUAACUACGUGCCAGCAGCCGCGGUAAUACGUA